ACUUAAUGCCUGUCAAACACACAAUAACAAAAUUAACCAAAUUAAAUCGAAUUAAAGAAUAAAGAAACAAAACCAAUUGUCACUGAAACAAACAGAAAGAAAACAUAUGCUCACGCCAGUACGCUGGCAAUAAUACAAAAAUGAAUCCAAAACAACAAGUAAAUCAACUGAAAACAUAACUGGACCAUAUAAGUGCAAAACAGUUGUCACAGGUGACGGUUUGUGAGGGCGGAACCAAAAGUGUGGAAGACGGGUUCCGCCCGUCGAUGGUUCCGCCCGGACGCUUCACUUAGAACACCGGAAUGUCCGGGGUUUCCCCGAAACCAAAAUUAAGCCUGAUCACGCUCAGGUGGGGCGAAUUAACACAGCGGUUGCUAAUAGGCUGACAAGGAGAAGAGUCAGUGUAUAAAAACACCUUUGCAGACAUCAAACGGGGUGCUUGUGGUAUACUUUGUAUACGCUGUGUUGCUGCUUUGCAGACGGACCAAGCUGGUCGGAUCGCUCUCCUGGGGAAGAGAGGAAGAGACAGUCAGCUGACGAAGGAAUAUUGUGGAGUUUCAUUUGAGAAAGAGUGGACACAGAGCCAUCAAGAGUGCAGUUAAUAGCAGUUGUUGACAACCAAGUGUGAGUAACAGCUGUGGUACUUAUCUGUGCAAUACUGGUACGAAGAGUUGUUUUGGUGUGUGCCUUUGUGUUUUUGAGGUCCCUGGCCCCACUGGAGAGGGGAAGCGUGGGCGAGCCGCGGGUUGACCGGAAGCACGGACGAAGCACUGGUAGGAAGCACCGUUCACCAGUAAAACCGUGGCCCUGUGGGAAAAAGGAAGCGCAGGUGAGCCAGAGGAGUGAUAACCAAAGAUGUAUAAAGUACUAGGGACCCAGACUUGAGUAAAAGUACAAGUACUCUAUCAAAAAAGUGACUUGAGUAGAAGUUGAAGGGCUCUUUAAGCACAGCACUUGAGUGGAAGUACUAAAGUAUUAAACAUGUUUUGUACUUAAGUAUUGCAAGUAGUUUUUUUAAAAAUAUACUACUCAAGUACUGAAAGUAAAAGUACAAGUAUUGUGUAAUGUAGUUAUUAAAGAAAACAGUCAAAAGUUUGAAUAUAAUAUUGUUUAUAUUAUUUCAAAUGUUUAAGCUAAAUGACACUCACAAUUCCUUUGGCUGUAGCAGGAGUACAAGGACAUGAAUGUUCAGAUAAUUCAGAUUAAUUUAACUGAUAUGGAGAUAGAGAAUUCAGAAUUAAUGAAAUAUUAGUCGAUAUAAUGGUAAUAGGUAAAGGUAAAAGGUGUUUCAAUGUAUUUAGGUUUCCUUCUUUCGCGCACACUCGCCCUUUCUCGCGCAUUCUCUCGGUCUUUCUCGCGCACUUUGGUUCUCUCUUCGCUUCACAUUUGUCCACAACCCCGGCUCAUAUUUGUGAGUGAAAGGGAGGGAGGGGUCCGCCCUUCACUUUCUCCGAUUGGUUUAGACCACGAUCUGUGUGUGUUUCUAAUGUGGAUCACCGCUCCGGCAGAGAUAAUGUGGGUUUGGAAUGAUUCGUAACAUUUGAUUGUAACGAGUAACUAUGCAGCACAUAAAAAAUGUAUCAGAGUAAAAGUAUUAAACUCAUCGAAAAUAUGUACUGAAGUAAAAGUGGAAGUAGGAGAAAAAAAUAAUACUUCAGUAGAGUACAGAUACUGUCUUUUAGUACUUAAGUACAGUAGUGAAGUAGUUCUACUUCGUUACUAUACAUCUCUGGUGAUAACCAACACGCCGGGCCUGUGAAUAACACACAUCUCACUCUCAUCGGUGGUCCAGUUAUCGCCCAACCAUCCUCUCGAGGUCGUCGUAGCCAGGUGGCAAGGGCGAUCAAAAAAUCACGUGAAGUUGUAUAUGAGUGCUGUGGGUGAGUUUCACUGAUUGAUGGUGUUUACGCUUUACUUGCUGUGUGUAUGCUGUGCUUGUAGCGUUCAAACUGCCUAGCCUCCGACGAGUCACGAGACGACGACAUCCGUUGUGGCCUGGGUCCUAAGGAGAGCGAGAAAAUUGAGCCCUGUGCCCGGGGUGUGUCAACGAGAGCUUCGUUUGUCCAUAGAGCAGACAGUGGUGAAACCCAGUGAGUAUUAUCAAGAGUGUACCGUGCGGACUGUGGGUUGUAACGGUGUGUGUACUGACCUCUCCAACAGAAGCUCGUGGUGAGCAGAGCCCCGACGAAGGUUCGCCCCAACUCGUGACCCCGGUCGUGGAAGAAGGAGGGGGAGUUUGGGAAGCGUUCGGCUCCGUGUCAUCGGACCCACUAGUCCCUACGACGCCCGGACAGCCGGAGUGGAUGGGCGAAGGAAUACGGUGCACCGACACUGUAGCGAAAAUCCACUGUUUGCAGCAAUCACCUAUCUGUACAAGUGAAGCUCUGUGUGCAUGAAGAUCCCCAGUGCUAAAUUACCUACCUGUGCCGGUGAAGCUCUGUGUGGGAACGAAGAUCCUCCAGUGCUGUGGGUAACGUAACCUGUGGAGAGAACUUGACCUGUGGCUAUAGCCAUCACUUACCGUUCCAACGAAGGUCCCGUGUUGAACGAACAGCGACUAGUAACGAAGUACCUUACCCUUGUCUGAUUAUUAUUUGAUUCUGCCUCCAGGAGAAGCGGAGCGCGCCACGGAUUGUUGGGCCAGAGCCCCCAAAGGAGCCCCUGUCCCCAGCCUUUCCCCCAAGUGGCCCUGGAGGCGAAGAAGAGACACAUUUAGUUUUAAAUUGCCCUUUUUCCCUUCCCCCUUUCCUUUUUAAAUAUUUAAUAAAGUUUAUUUUAACUAUAGUAUACUCGUCUGUCUGGUCAUUGGGGUGGUCUUGGGAAACUCCUCGAGGUGGAAGAGUUGAGAGGGGCGUGACCUUUAGUUUAUUCGGGUCCGCCCCCGGCCGUGACACAGUACUCCCACCUCAUUAGCGGGUUCACAACCGUACUAAAAUGGGAUUCACGUUCACGCGAAUAUUCAACCAGGAACAAGACAGCGGUGACGUCACUGCAUACCCCUAUCACUCUAUAACCUAGGGGAAAAACUAAUCAUGUUAAUCAGUCGUCACAAUACAUUUAUGUAAUAGACCCACAUGAGUGAGACAUACCGAAUAACAGGCACAGGGACCCGGGAAUCAGUGGAGGUGAAGAUACUACUCCAUAGUGGCAAUGCGAAGUUUCAGUUUAAUCACUCAGCUGGUGGAGCUCAGGAUACACAAGGAGAGUAACUUGGCGUAUAAAGUCGUCAUCCGCCCAUACGCAGCAUCGUAUUGACUACGAUAAAGGCAUAAGUUACUAAUGAAAUGCAAGUCAGUCAACACGCCAUUAAAACACAACGUUACCUGAAUGUGAUCGCCUAAACAGAUGAGACACACGCCGCCGACAAGUCAAAGCCACAAUAUCUGCAGCCACGGAGAUGUUUACAGUUGCAGCAAUCAUCCUGCACAGCUGCAGAAAACCCACAUGUAUAAUCCAUGUUUUAAAGAGAUGCACAUAGCGGUAAUAGUUUCACCUACCCGAGAUAACAACAGCCCUCAGUCCAUACACCGGAAGCGAAACGGGAUACCGGGAAGUGACGCUCGUCUGGGUCACACACACGUAUGUUGUUUAUAUACCGUAAUCCAACCCCCUCUAUCGGCCCCAACCAAUGAAUAAACUAAUACCCAAUAAUGACUUCCCGAUCUCUACAUGCCACACUUUCUUAGAUUUUGAAACGAAGGAAACACGUAAUGUGUGUUGCUAAUGUUGGGCCAUGUAAUACAUUAACGUUUUAAUGAAUAGUCUAACGAUUUAUAAUCGUUGUACUCUAUUGUUAUAAUAUGUCUUUUUGACUGAAUACAUGUUUGUUUUAUUUGUCCAUAUACUAGAUUCGCAGCUGGACACAUCCUUCUACACUGUAUGCAAACAUGCAACUUUAUUACACACAGUACAAGGAGUCAGACUGGCAUAAGAGGAGCAAAGGUGUGUAACACAUAUGAUGUAUUUAGCUAGUGAAACCACUACCAGUCUUAAAUGUAUAACUGAUGAUGACAAAGUUUUUUUCUCUGCAUAAUCAUAGGAACCCAGGCAGUAGCAUCGUUUCACAAUGUUUCAAUCACCAUCAUCAGUGGAUGCCUUUGCCGUCCGUAGCCUGAGAUUUCAGAUUUGCAGCAAAAAAUGUGACUUUCCCAUUUAUUGGAAUGCUGUGCAGGUUGUACCUUGCAGCCAUUCAUUACAAUGUCACCAAGCUGGAACAAAAGCAGGAGAGGGAAAGUACAAGGCUAUGUUCCCAAAACACACAAGUGACAUACUGUAAGCAGUAAUGUUUUAUUUCAAAUACAUUCAUAAUUAAAAACUUAAUGUAUGAAGCAGGGAAAUAAAUGAUCAAAACAAAAGAUUUAUUGACUGCAAUAUUUGUACAGUUAUGUGGAUGAUGUGAUCAGGCUUGUGUUUGCCAACAUUCCGAUCAGGAAGCUCCAAGCAUAUCUGGAGAACAACAAACGACAGGAUGAUAACCCUAAAGUGUCGUCUUAGAUAGCACCAGCUGAUAAAGCUUUGAUAUGCCAUUUAUCUGAAUAGAUAGCUGUAAGAAGUGAAUUGAACAAUUUUUGAAAGAAGAGCACAAUAUGGUUACUAAAAAAUGUUUAUUUGUAUAUUGUUUAACAUUUAA